CCUACGGGAGGCAGCAGUGGGGAAUCUUGCGCAAUGGGCGAAAGCCUGACGCAGCAACGCCGCGUGCGGGAAGAAGGCCUUCGGGUUGUAAACCGCUUUCAGAAGGAACGAAAAUGACGGUACUUUCAGAAGAAGGUGCGGCCAACUACGUGCCAGCAGCCGCGGUGACACGUAGGCACCAAGCGUUGUCCGGAUUUAUUGGGCGUAAAGAGCUCGUAGGCGGUUCGGUAAGUCAGAUGUGAAAACUUUGGGCUCAACCCAAAGCCUGCAUCUGAUACUGCUGUGACUUGAGUUCGGUAGGGGAGUGGGGAAUUCCUAGUGUAGCGGUGAAAUGCGCAGAUAUUAGGAGGAACACCGGUGGCGAAGGCGCCACUCUGGGCCGAAACUGACGCUGAGGAGCGAAAGCGUGGGUAGCAAACAGGAUUAGAUACCCUGGUAGUCCACGCCGUAAACGUUGGGCACUAGGUGUGGGUUCCAACCAACGGAAUCCGCGCCGUCGCUAAUGCAUUAAGUGCCCCGCCUGGGGAGUACGGUCGCAAGACUAAAACUCAAAGGAAUUAGACGG
rnacentral:rRNA from 1 species